rnacentral:rRNA from 1 species
AUCUACAGCCAUACCACCCUAAACGUGCCCGAUCUCAUUUGAUCUCAGAAGCUCAGCAGGGUCAGGCCUGGUUAGUACUUGGAUGGGAGGUCUACUCCCUGGUAUUAGGGCAACACUCAGUCUUAUGUUGUGGGCU